CUCCUGAGGGUGGCGCCUCUUCUGCUCUGGGCACAUGGUAGUUAGAUUUGUUCCUCUGCUUUACAUUUCGGAAUCUCUUUAGGGUCAAAAUACAAAUUUCAAAUUUUAAAGCCACCUGAGUCACUUUGAUGUGAUUUUUCUAUGUAUUCCUAGGAUUUUAUUCUCAAUUUCAUCCCAGCCUACCUUUUUUAUUGGCUCAAUUUCUAUCAAUCCCUUCCUCUCUAACCCAUAUCUCCAACAUGUAGUUAGAGGCUCACAACUCCCAGAUUCUGGAUAUGAAUCUAGGCACUAGGAAGUUACUAGUCUUAGUUCUUACUUCAUUUCCUGUCCUCUGUUUAUUUGAUUUUUUUUCCCCCUCUCAUUAGUAAACCAGCUAUUUCUUUCUACAUUUCUAACAUUUAUCUACCAUUCUUCUUUGUCAAAAAGAAUCUCAGUUAAAAAAGAAGAAACAAAAGGAGGCAGAGGGGAAGAAAGACAGAAAAAAAUACAAACCAACUGGGAUGUGAGUCACCUUACCUUAUAAGUGACUAAACCAAUCAUUCAAAUUGGACACGGUAUUCCACUGCAGAAUCUGUCCAUUCUCUAUGGAAGCAGAGGGAAACUAAGAUGAGACUUCAGAGAAGGCACUAGAAACUAACUUAUCUUCAGGGCCAAGCUAAGAUGUUGAGGCUUCAUCCAGAAAGUCAUAGAAGGUCACUGAGUGUUUUAAACAAAGAGUGAUGAAUUGAACUUGUGCGAAAAUGAACCUGUGCAUUUUUAGAUCGUAUGUUUUGAGAAGUCAGUACUUCCUGGAAGUCAUCAAGGGCAAAUAUACAGGGCUGAACAUUUUCUCAGCAGCAUGGAGUUCUCAAAGUCAAAGACUCCAACUCAAACAAACUCCAAGUGAAAACUCAGCAUGUGAAGUCCUACCUUCCUCAAAUACGUGUUACCGACACUCAUAGCUGUAGAAGUCCCACUGGUAGUAUAUAGAGGUUGGUUUGAGGGCUGGGAGUUGGGGCAAUGGUUGUGAAUCUAGAAAUGAUCCUUUGUAAAGGGACACUUAAUUUGGACCUCAAUACAAGAAACUUGUGGAGGAACAGGAAAGAUUGUAGGCAGCUGAGAACUGUUGUAUUAAUUAGUUCAGAGUGGAAGAAGCUGAGCGUUAUCUAUAAAGGCAGGUCUGGCAGUCGAAAGGCAUGGAGGAAAAUGGAGCUGGGGAGGGGGUCGCGGCAGGUCCUGUGGGAUCUGGACGUCAGAGGCACAGAGGUGGCACACUCACAUCCUGUGUAAAACUUCUGGCUCACAUCCCACCCCCCAGAUGCUGAAAAGUAACCGUCCCUCACUUAACACCAAAACCUGCACUCAACGUUUCUUCAGGGGAUAAAGGGAAAAAAAAAAGUAUGCUUACACAGAGGUCAGCCUACUCGUUCAUUAAGGAAAAAGAGCGUGGCUUAUUCAUCUGUCUUUCAAACGUUUGAUCGUUGGCAUGAUGAUGAUGGCGGAUUACUAGGACCUAACCAAAUCAGAGGAGAGACUAAAUGCUGGUGCUCUGAAAUGAUCUACCCUGUCAUCUGUAACAACCAGUGAUAACUCUCUUGUCUUGUAAAAAGGGUUUGUACAUAACUUGUACAUGGUUUCAUUUUGUAUUUUUCGCAGAUUAAAAAUUUAUGUAUUUGUGUUCUAAAUCGGUGAGUGUGCCUUUUGUCUCCAGCAGCCACACUUCAUGGGCGGGGCGGGGGAGGGGAGAGUGGAGUCUGUGGGUCCCCAUCAGGCUGCUGUGCCUCUCUUUGGUGACGGCAGAGUUGUGGACAGAUCGGAGC
ensembl:lncRNA